UAGCGAAGGGUGCAAGCGUUACUCGGAAUCACUGGGCGUAAAGCGUGCGUAGGCGGUUCGUUAAGUCUGGCUGUGAAAGCCCUGGGCCUCAACCUGGGAACUGCAGUGGAUACUGGCGGACUAGAGUGUGAUAGAGGAUGGUGGAAUUCCCGGUGUAGCGGUGAAAUGCGUAGAGAUCGGGAGGAACACCGGUGGCGAAGGCGGCCAACUGGACUGGUAUUGACGCUGAGGCGCGAAAGCGUGGGGAGCAAAACAGG
rnacentral:rRNA from 1 species